AAAUUGAAGAGUUUGAUCAUGGCUCAGAUUGAACGCUGGCGGCAGGCCUAACACAUGCAAGUCGAACGGUAACAGGAAACAGCUUGCUGUUUCGCUGACGAGUGGCGGACGGGUGAGUAAUGUCUGGGAAACUGCCUGAUGGAGGGGGAUAACUACUGGAAACGGUAGCUAAUACCGCAUAACGUCGCAAGACCAAAGAGGGGGACCUUCGGGCCUCUUGCCAUCGGAUGUGCCCAGAUGGGAUUAGCUAGUAGGUGGGGUAACGGCUCACCUAGGCGACGAUCCCUAGCUGGUCUGAGAGGAUGACCAGCCACACUGGAACUGAGACACGGUCCAGACUCCUACGGGAGGCAGCAGUGGGGAAUAUUGCACAAUGGGCGCAAGCCUGAUGCAGCCAUGCCGCGUGUAUGAAGAAGGCCUUCGGGUUGUAAAGUACUUUCAGCGGGGAGGAAGGGAGUAAAGUUAAUACCUUUGCUCAUUGACGUUACCCGCAGAAGAAGCACCGGCUAACU
rnacentral:rRNA from 1 species